rnacentral:rRNA from 1 species
AACGGCGAGUGAAGCGGCAAGAGCUCAAAUUUGAAAGCUGGCCCCCUCGGGGUCCGCAUUGUAAUUUGCAGAGGAUGCUUCGGGAGCGGUCCCCAUCUAAGUGCCCUGGAACGGGCCGUCAUAGAGGGUGAGAAUCCCGUAUGGGAUGGGGUGCCCGCGCCCGUGUGAAGCUCCUUCGACGAGUCGAGUUGUUUGGGAAUGCAGCUCUAAUUGGGUGGUAAAUUUCAUCUAAAGCUAAAUAUUGGCCGGAGACCGAUAGCGCACAAGUAGAGUGAUCGAAAGAUGAAAAGCACUUUGAAAAGAGAGUUAAACAGCACGUGAAAUUGUUGAAAGGGAAGCGCUUGCGAUCAGACUCGCCCACGGGGUUCAGCCGGCAUUCGUGCCGGUGUACUUCCCCGCGGGCGGGCCAGCGUCGGUUUGGGCGGUCGGUCAAAGGCCCCUGGAAUGUAACGCCUCUCGGGGCGUCUUAUAGCCAGGGGUGCCAUGCGACCUGCCCGGACCGAGGAACGCGCUUCGGCUCGGACGCUGGCAUAAUGGUCGUAAGCGACCCGUCUUGAAACACGGACCAAGGAGUCUAACAUCUACGCGAGUGUUCGGGUGUCAAACCCGUGCGCGCAGUGAAAGCGAACGGAGGUGGGAACCCUCACGGGUGCACCAUCGACCGAUCCUGAUGUCUUCGGAUGGAUUUGAGUAAGAGCGUAGCUGUUGGGACCCGAAAGAUGGUGAACUAUGCCUGAAUAGGGCGAAGCCAGAGGAAACUCUGGUGGAGGCUCGCAGCGGUUCUGACGUGCAAAUCGAUCGUCAAAUUUGGGUAUAGGGGCAAAAAACUAAUCGAACCAUCUAGUAGCUGGUUCCGGCCGAAUUU